UACCUCAAAAAACCACAACAGUCUGUUUCAUCCGUAUAGGAACCAUCCACAGUCUGUUUCAUCCGUAUAGGAUGAUUCCUAUACAGAUGAAACAGACUGUUGUGGUUUUU